AUACGUAGGGGGCGAGCGUUGUCCGGAAUGAUUGGGCGUAAAGGGCGCGUAGGCGGCCUGUUAAGUCUGGAGUGAAAGUCCUGUUUUUAAGAUGGGAAUUGCUUUGGAUACUGUCGGGCUUGAGUGCAGGAGAGGUAAGUGGAAUUCCUAGUGGAGCGGUAAAAUGCGCAGAUAUUAGGAAGAACACAGGUGGCGAAGGAGGCUAUCUAAACAUAAACAGAGACUUAGGCGCGCACACGUGGGGAGCAAACAGGAUUAUAUACCCUUGUAGUCCACACUGUAAACGAUGAAUGCAAGGUGUAGGGGAGAACGACCCCUUCUGUGCCGUAGUCAGCACGAUAGGCAUUACCGCUGGUGAGUACAGUCGUGAGGUUGAACCUGAAAGGCAAUGACGGGG
rnacentral:rRNA from 1 species